rnacentral:rRNA from 1 species
UACGGAGGAUGCGAGCGUUAUCCGGAUUUACUGGGUGUAAAGGGGGCGCAGACGGCGAUGCAAGCCAGGAGUGAAAGCCCGGGGCUCAACCCCGGCGAGCCGUUGAAACUGGCGGGCUGGAGUUGGAGAGAAGUACGCGGAAUGCGCGGUGUAGCGGUGAAAUGCUUAGAUAUCGCGCAGAACCCCGAUUGCGAAGGCAGCGUACCGGCUCCACACUGACGCUGAGGCACGAAAGCGUGGGUAUCGAACAGG